rnacentral:rRNA from 1 species
GAUGAACGCUGGCGGCGUGCCUAAUACAUGCAAGUCGAGCGAACGGACGAGAAGCUUGCUUUUCUGAUGUUAGCGGCGGACGGGUGAGUAACACGUGGAUAACCUACCUAUAAGACUGGGAUAACUUCGGGAAACCGGAGCUAAUACCGGAUAAUAUUUUGAACCGCAUGGUUCAAAAGUGAAAGACGGUCUUGCUGUCACUUAUAGAUGGAUCCGCGCUGCAUUAGCUAGUUGGUAAGGUAACGGCUUACCAAGGCAACGAUGCAUAGCCGACCUGAGAGGGUGAUCAGCCACACUGGAACUGAGACACGGUCCAGACUCCUACGGGAGGCAGCAGUAGGGAAUCUUCCGCAAUGGGCGAAAGCCUGACGGAGCAACGCCGCGUGAGUGAUGAAGGUCUUCGGAUCGUAAAACUCUGUUAUUAGGGAAGAACAUAUGUGUAAGUAACUGUGCACAUCUUGACGGUACCGAAUCAGAAAGCCACGGCUAACUACGUG